ACGCAUUUGUUCUAUCUUCAGGUAGGGUUCCAAGAGAAACCCUAGCACCGCCGGUGGUUCCCCACUCUCUCUUACGUCGUCAUUGCCUGAAGCAGCAAAAUUUAAGGGCAGAAACAGAUUUUCCAGGCUGUGCAUGGGUGAAAAGGUCAAGCAUUUAAUGCUACCAUCCCUCUUCCACCACGAAUCGACUCAAACAAGUUGCUGAGGAGGGGAUUGGAAGCACAAAAGGAGCUUUCAAAUCCAUUCUUGAUCAAGGCUGCACUCAAAAAAGCUGCUUGGGCCGGGUCAGACCUCCCUGCUGGGCUACGGCCCAACAGUCCUUUCUUUCAACAAAAUAGUCCGGUGAAGUCGUGAACGGGGAGCUAAUAUUGAACGUGAUUGCAUGAAGGCCCAACCAUGGGUAAAAAUGGCCAACUAGGGGUUUGGUACACCCCUAGCAUGUCCCUUCUCUUUAUUUAUGUUAUUUCAUGUCUAUUGAGGUGUUUCAUUGUAUUUAUGAAGUUGUAAAAACUCACAUUGAUAUUGGAAUCCUUUUGAUUACAAA